UCUGGCAGCUAGCUCUCUGUGACUCUCACAUGGUCGUCCACUGAAGCUAAGCAGGGCUGUGCCCAUUCAAUACCUAGAUGGGAGACCACAUGGGAAAACUAGGAUGCUGCCAGAA
ensembl:rRNA 5S_rRNA 5S ribosomal RNA